rnacentral:rRNA from 1 species
CGUAGGUGGCAAGCGUUGUCCGGAAUUAUUGGGCGUAAAGCGCGCGCAGGCGGCUUCUUAAGUCCAUCUUAAAAGUGCGGGGCUUAACCCCCGUGAUGGGAUGGAAACUGAGAGGCUGGAGUAUCGGAGAGGAAAGUGGAAUUCCUAGUGUAGCGGUGAAAUGCGUAGAGAUUAGGAAGAACACCGGUGGCGAAGGCGACUUUCUGGACGACAACUGACGCUGAGGCGCGAAAGCGUGGGGAGCAA